AUUAAUCAGCCCCCCUCUCUAUUAUCUUUUCUUUUUCCAACUAAACUCUGACUCCUCUUAGCCAUGGAAGAACGCCUCUUUCCAUUUUUAGGGUAAUAUCUACUCAAUCACGUGAGUAUUGAGUAGACCCUAGCUCUAACGUUUGAAUUUCAAAUGUUCAAAAUCAAAACUCCAAUUCUCUCCCAAGGAGCUAGCCCUAACACUCUUCUCCUAUAAAUAUGGCCUUGUCUUUUAACAAAGACCGGGCAUGAACACUCACAAAAAGGCUUUUACACUAACAAGAACGUCAACUACAUUGUUAAAAUUACUUAGCUACUGUCAUCCAUUUGUGUCCUCUAAACUAUCUCUUGGUAGAUUCAUUUGGUUCGAUCUAGACUAUCUCUUUGAUAGAUGUAUUUGUUUCGAUCUCUUCGAUCUGUUCUCGAGAGAGUACAUUCAAGGCCAACGAUCCCUAGUUCACCGCCCACAAGAAGAGUCCCGCUUUGAGGCUCAACGACGCCGCAACCACAUGGAGUUUGUACAUCCUUGCGCAUUUCUAGCUUUUCACUGCUUUAAAGAAAACUACAAACAAAAUAGUCACUCCAUUGAGAGCUAGUUGUGAUUUUGAUUCAUUUUAUCUCUCCUUUUGUUCUUUUGCGUUACUUGUUUAGGGAUGUUAUUGAUAUUUCAUACCAGCUAUGUGAUUUGUCAUAGUUUUUAUGUUAUUUAGCAGUAGCUUUUAAUUAUGUCACAUAAGCCAAAAUUGCUAUACAAGAAUGGUAAAAUGAGUAAUUGUUUAACCA